UACGAAGGUCCCAAGCGUUGUUCGGAAUCACUGGGCUUAAAGGGCGCGUAGGCGGGUGGCUAAGUCUGUGGUGAAAUCCUCCAGCUCAACUGGAGAACUGCCAUGGAUACUGGUUGUCUCGAGGAACGUAGGGGUAUGCGGAACUAUCGGUGGAGCGGUGAAAUGCGUUGAUAUCGAUAGGAACUCCGGUGGCGAAGGCGGCAUACUGGACGUUUUCUGACGCUGAGGCGCGAAAGCCAGGGGAGCAAACGGG
rnacentral:rRNA from 1 species